rnacentral:rRNA from 1 species
UACGUAGGGGGGCAAGCGUUGUCCGGAAUUAUUGGGCGUAAAGAGCGUGUAGGCGGUCCGGUAAGUCAGCUGUGAAAGUCAAGGGCUCAACCCUUGAAAGCCGGUUGAUACUGUCGGGCUAGAGUCUGGAAGAGGCGAGUGGAAUUCCCGGUGUAGCGGUGAAAUGCGCAGAUAUCGGGAGGAACACCAAUGGCGAAGGCAGCUCGCUGGGGCCGGAACUGACGCUGAGGAGCGAAAGCGUGGGUAGCAAACAGG